GACGAACGCUGGCGGCGUGCCUAAUACAUGCAAGUCGAACGCUUCUUUCCUCCCGAGUGCUUGCACUCAAUUGGAAAGAGGAGUGGCGGACGGGUGAGUAACACGUGGGUAACCUACCCAUCAGAGGGGGAUAACACUUGGAAACAGGUGCUAAUACCGCAUAACAGUUUAUGCCGCAUGGCAUAAGAGUGAAAGGCGCUUUCGGGUGUCGCUGAUGGAUGGACCCGCGGUGCAUUAGCUAAUUGGUGAGGUAACGGCUCACCAAGGCCACGAUGCAUAGCCGACCUGAGAAGGUGAUCGGCCACACUGAGACUGAGACACGGCCCAGACUCCUACGGAAGGCAGCAGUAGGGAAUCUUCGGCAAUGGACGAAAGUCUGACCGAGCAACGCCGCGUGAGUGAAGAAGGUUUUCGGAUCGUAAAACUCUGUUGUUAGAGAAGAACAAGGACGUUAGUAACUGAACGUCCCCUGACGGUAUCUAACCAGAAAGCCACGGCUAACUACGUG
rnacentral:rRNA from 1 species